GCCAAUCAGAUCAACAGUUAUGAGUUUCUCCGUGUCAACGGGAACCGUGGAGACUGUCGUCAACACCAACGUGUUGGCUCCGCCCCUGAUGUGCGUUCCGUGACCGUAGCUACGUGGAACAACUGGAGCCCUACGGAUACGGCUGACGCUGAACGAAGACACCCACACACACACACUCACCAACACACCACACACACAACUUCAUUUGCAAGAUUUCCAAGAACAUCGCUCUGUCAUCAUAGAAAAAAAUGACUUGUUGCCGUGUUCAGCUGACAGGGUGCUGGUCCAGAGCUGUUGCUGGCUGCUGGGUGUACUGCUGUCUCUCUGGGGCCUGCCCCCCCAAUGACACACAUACAAACACACUUCUCACAAAAACAUCUGUAGAGUCCGAACGAAUUUGACCCAUCUAUGAAAAGCUGAGACUCCAACAAACAUGCACAUGUAACCUGUUUUACUCACUAGAAAUAAAAGAGUCGUUAGAAGGUAACGGGUUCGUUCUUCUACAGAGAAGAUCAUAGGAAAACCCAGAACAUAGUGUCUAUGAUAUUGUAAUAAGCUCACAUAUUUGCUGUCACAAACUACAAACUCCACACAGUUGUCACCGACUAGAUGGAUUUUCAUUUACCACUGAGCAUUCUUACAUACAGUACUUACAUAAUUCUUAUAAAUUCAUUGUUGUGAGGUUUUGCUUGGAGGACCUUGUUUUCUUGAUUGGCGUUUGAGAUUAAUAUAAAACUCAUGAAUGCAA